GACGAACGCUGGCGGCGUGCUUAACACAUGCAAGUCGAGCGGUAAGGCCCUUUCGGGGGUACACGAGCGGCGAACGGGUGAGUAACACGUGGGUGACCUGCCCUCAGCUCUGGGAUAAGCCUGGGACACCGAGUCUAAUACUGGAUAUGACUCCAUGACGCAUGUUGUGGGGUGGAAAGCCUUGUGCGGCUGAGGAUGGGCCCCGCGGCCUAUCAGCUUGUUGGGGGGUGAUGGCCUACCAAGGCGACGACGGGUAGCCGGCCUGAGAGGGCGACCGGCCACACUGGGACUGAGACACGGCCCAGACUCCUACGGGAGGCAGCAGUGGGGAAUCUUGCGCAAUGGGCGAAAGCCUGACGCAGCGACGCCGCGUGAGGGAUGACGG
rnacentral:rRNA from 1 species